rnacentral:rRNA from 1 species
AUUGAACGCUGGCGGCAUGCCUUACACAUGCAAGUCGAACGGCAGCACGGGAGCAAUCCUGGUGGCGAGUGGCGAACGGGUGAGUAAAGUAUCGGAACGUGCCCAGUCGUGGGGGAUAACGUAGCGAAAGUUACGCUAAUACCGCAUACGAUCUAUGGAUGAAAGCGGGGGAUCGCAAGACCUCGCGCGAUUGGAGCGGCCGAUAUCAGACUAGGUAGUUGGUGGGGUAAAGGCUCACCAAGCCGACGAUCUGUAGCUGGUCUGAGAGGACGACCAGCCACACUGGGACUGGGACACGGCCCAGACUCCUACGGGAGGCAGCAGUGGGGAAUUUUGGACAAUGGGCGAAAGCCUGAUCCAGCCAUGCCGCGUGCAGGAUGAAGGCCUUCGGGUUGUAAACUGCUUUUGUACGGAACGAAAAGGUUUGGGCUAAUAAGCUGAGCUCAUGACGGUACCGUAAGAAUAAGCACCGGCUAACUACGUGCCAGCAGCCGCCGUAA